GAUGAACGCUGGCGGCAGGCCUAAUACAUGCAAGUCAAGGGGCCCCGCCUUUGGGCGGGGCACCGGCGGACGGGUGAGCAGCGCGUACACAACGUGCCCCUGACCGGGGGACAGCGGCGGGAAACUGCCGGUAACACCCCAUGGCGCCGCGGGGCGGCAUUGCCCGGCGGCGAAAGUUUCGGCGGUCGGGGAUCGGUGUGCGUCCGAUUAGGUAGUUGGCGGGGUGACGGCCCACCAAGCCUGCGAUCGGAGGGGGUGUGAGAGCACGGCCCCCC
rnacentral:rRNA from 1 species